UCUUAAUAAAGUUAAGUAGCUAGAAAGGAGAAGCACAGCCAGCACUGGAGAACUGUUGAACUCUCUCUGGACCACCACAGUGUUCCACAAGCCAACCUGGGAACAGCUGACCCAGACCAUUCUCCUGCCAAUCAAUGAUUUGAUCCCCAUAAAAGCAUGAAAAGAAAGAUGAAUCAACGGGGAUUAUUUACCCAAAGCUUACAAUGUAUUCCAAGACCAGGAAGUCUGUGCAAAAUGCAACAACUGUCUCCAACUAGAUCAUCCUUUCUUCAGGUAUGUGCCAUGGAACAGAGGCAUAUUUACAACGGAGCUGUGGAUGCUGAAGCUGCAUGGGUUCCUUCUUUGCUUGGGUUAAGUCCCACCUUAAGUGAAGUCUAGAGAAGUACCUGCACAGUUCUAAAAAUUAACUUUAACAGGUGCCACACUGUACUUCAUUGGGAUCAUACUAUACAUUAAAAACAAUAAAUUUGCUGUCUCCACAUUUAACAUGAAAUUAAUUUGAAUACAUUCACUUUCUUAACUACAAGAGUGUAAUUUAGAGCAAAAAGCUAUUAUUUAGCUAUUAUGCACACCACAUGAUUUAAUCUGAAAGGUGGUAUAUAUGCUCAGAUCAUCCACACAAAUUUCGGCCAAUAUUUCACAUAGCGUUAUACAGCCUUUGCCAAAUGCAGUGUUACACUAAACAGCCAUGAGAUUUGCAGUUGUACAGGCCCUUUAUUCUCUGAUGGAGCCAGUUUCUGGUAAGCAACUCAGAGAAAAUGGGCUCCAUUAAGGUACAUGAUUUCCAAUAUCAUGUCAAAAAUUACUGCUAUAAAUCCUGUGUUCCUCUGCCUGCAAGCACUUGCUAAAUUGUAAGCUUCAGGUCACGUAAAAUAUUAAGGGGGUAUUGACAUAUUUGUUUGAAAGCUGUUUUUUUCUUGUUUGAAUAUAAGUCAACUGUCCUCUUGUAAAAGGAAAAAGUUAAAAGUGGAUAGUUUGGCCUCCUCCAGCAAAACACGUAAGAAAAGAAAACAUUAUCGGCCAUGACUUAAUUACAGAAAACGAACAGAAUCAGUUACUGAA